UCGUAAACGGGAUGGCAGCGGCAUCCUUUGGCUGUCAGCCUGAGCGGCGAAGGUCAGACAAGAUACAGCGUACAGCCCGGGUGACG
rnacentral:sRNA from 1 species